AGUAGAAUGGCUGAGAUAAAAGGUAAUAAAUUGUAAAUUUAUUUAGGAACUAAAGUUCUUCUGCUA
rnacentral:tRNA from 1 species